GACGAACGCUGGCGGCGUGCCUAAUACAUGCAAGUCGAGCGCAGGAAAUCGACGGAACCCUUCGGGGGGAAGUCGACGGAAUGAGCGGCGGACGGGUGAGUAACACGUAAAGAACCUGCCCUCAGGUCUGGGAUAACCACGAGAAAUCGGGGCUAAUACCGGAUGGGUCAUCGGACCGCAUGGUCCGAGGAUGAAAGGCGCUCCGGCGUCGCCUGGGGAUGGCUUUGCGGUGCAUUAGCUAGUUGGUGGGGUAAUGGCCCACCAAGGCGACGAUGCAUAGCCGACCUGGGAGGGUGAUCGGCCACACUGGGACUGAGACACGGCCCAGACUCCUACGGGAGGCAGCAGUAGGGAAUCUUCCACAAUGGACGAAAGUCUGAUGGAGCAACGCCGCGUGAACGAUGAAGGCCUUCGGAUCGUAAAGUUCUGUUGUAAGGGAAGAACAAGUGCCGCAGGCAAUGGCGGCACCUUGACGGUACCUUGCGAGAAAGCCACGGCUAACUACGUGCCAGCAGCCGCCGUAA
rnacentral:rRNA from 1 species